rnacentral:lncRNA from 1 species
GGAUGUGAAGAAAAUCCUUUUUAUAAAGAGAGGGAAGUGACUGGGAAGAAAAUCUGUCCAGGAACUGUCAUGAUAAAGAAAGUACAUGAGGAAAGAGAGGCAUCUUUUUCUGUACUGCUUCCUUUUUGAAAGCACAGACUACUAACAUGAAGUACACUGUACUGUGAAGGAAGAGAGUGGCUGCUGACUGACUGCUGCCUGAGAACAGAGUGACUGCAUGAAGCAGUGUUGCUUUCUGGGUCUACCACUCACACCAGUUGCUGACAGAAGACAGUAGCAGCCCCUUGAUUUUAAUCUAGCAUGCUGGGUAUAUACAGUUCUGAAAACUAUUCUGUUUUUUAAUAACACUUGUUUGAAGUUGAAUUAUGAUGAGGCUGCCGUAUUGGUUUGAAAAGAGCUGACAUUUACCUGAGAGGCUGCAGCA